rnacentral:rRNA from 1 species
GUGGGGAAUCUUCCGCAAUGGACGAAAGCCUGAUCCAGCAAUGCCGCGUGAGUGAUGAAGGCCUUAGGGUUGUAAAGCUCUUUUACCAGGGAUGAUAAUGACAGUACCUGGAGAAUAAGCUCCGGCUAACUCCGUGCCAGCAGCCGCGGUAAUACGGAGGGAGCUAGCGUUGUUCGGAAUUACUGGGCGUAAAGCGCACGUAGGCUGUAGUGUAAGUCAGGGGUGAAAUCCCACGGCUCAACCGUGGAACUGCCUUUGAUACUGGCUGUCUUGAGUUUGGGAGAGGUGAGUGGAACUCCGAGUGUAGAGGUGAAAUUCGUAGAUAUUCGGAAGAACACCAGUGGCGAAGGCGACUCACUGGCCCAAUACUGACGCUGAGGCGCGAAAGCGUGGGGAGCAAACAGGAUUAGAAACCCCUGUAGUCC